rnacentral:pre_miRNA from 1 species
GCAUACUUCUUCAUAUGCCCAUAUGAAAUGCUUUGCUAUGGAAUGUAAAGAAGUAUGUAU